AACGAACGCUGGCGGCAGGCCUAACACAUGCAAGUCGAGCGAAGCCUUCGGGCUUAGCGGCGGACGGGUUAGUAACGCGUGGGAACGUACCCUUUUCUACGGAAUAGUCUCGGGAAACUGAGGGUAAUACCGUAUACGCCCUUCGGGGGAAAGAUUUAUCGGAGAAGGAUCGGCCCGCGUUAGAUUAGAUAGUUGGUGGGGUAACGGCCUACCAAGUCUACGAUCUAUAGCUGGUUUGAGAGGAUGAUCAGCAACACUGGGACUGAGACACGGCCCAGACUCCUACGGGAGGCAGCAGUGGGGAAUCUUAGACAAUGGGCGCAAGCCUGAUCUAGCCAUGCCGCGUGAGUGAAGAAGGCCCUAGGGUCGUAAAGCUCUUUCGCCUGUGAAGAUAAUGACUGUAGCAGGUAAAGAAACCCCGGCUAACUCCGUGCCAGCAGCCGCGGUAAUACGGAGGGGGUUAGCGUUGUUCGGAAUUACUGGGCGUAAAGCGCGCGUAGGCGGAUCAGCAAGUUAGGGGUGAAAUCCCGGGGCUCAACCCCGGAACUGCCCUUAAAACUGUUGGUCUUGAGUUCGAGAGAGGUGAGUGGAAUUCCGAGUGUAGAGGUGAAAUUCGUAGAUAUUCGGAGGAACACCAGUGGCGAAGGCGGCUCACUGGCUCGAUACUGACGCUGAGGUGCGAAAGUGUGGGGAGCAAACAGG
rnacentral:rRNA from 1 species